AGGGGCGAUGACCCGGGAAAGGGUUGGCGCGCGCGGGAUCGGCUCGCGCGCCUGAGGGGCGGUGCCGGGGGCGGGGCUUCGCCGCGAGGCCACCCCCGAGCCCCGGGCCUAGCCGCACGGGAGGCGACACACCCUCGCCCUACCCUGAGCCUGGCGCAGACCCUCGACCGCGACGGCGCGGUCCGCAGAACCGCGGGCUUCCCUCCCCGGCAAAAAGCGGCGCUGAAGGCCUGUGGGACCCCCGCCCGGCCGCCCUACGUGCGUCAGCGCCUUCGGGGGUCGCGCGGGCUUGGUCCUUUCGGCUGUCUCGGCCUUUUUGUUUCCCCCUCAGGUCUCUCCACGCUGCACUUGACACCCUCAGGGCGGAAUGGCGAGUUCUAGACCCAGCUCUCUAGACCCGGGGCUUCAUGGGGGACACGGACUCGACGGGAAGGGGAACUUGGCAUUUAUGGACAGAUCCUCAUCCUUCUUGCUGUAGUCAAUUACACGCACGUUAACCGUGCAGCCGCCCUGCUGUAUUUUAGGCGGUUGUUGGCACUCCUAGUUGGGCCCUUCCCUGGCCCCUCACAGCAGGGCCUGCCUCCUGUGGACGCUUGUGUGCUGCCCUGGCACCGGCCACUGUGUUUUGCAUAAAGGAGAGGCUCCAAAGAUGUUGGCCAAAGGAAUGAAGCCUUGAGAGUCCAGGCUUUCUAUUUCUGAGACACUCUACUCAAGGACUUCCCAGAUGCAAAGCUUCAUCUUUGAGCAAAUACAAAUAUGGAGAGGGAACAUUAACUUUCUGAAGAAAAGAAGGAACAUCUUUUCAACCUUUUAUAUUGAGUUAACACCAUGGUCUUAGUUUUGUGAAAGCACUUUAAUACAUCCAACUAGCGGGAGGAAUACAAGAUAUUCCUACCUUUUUAUUAUUAUUAUUAAAAGAGGGCUAAACCAUGUUGUAAACUACUUAAGAACUGAAUGUUCAAGUUGUACAGUAUAUUGGCCAGAUUCCUUACUGCCCACUAGGCUUGGGAGCAUGUUUUCAGCUCAGUUUUAUGAAUGUUUUAAAUUUGUAUUACUGAUCUUUGUUAUAGCCAAUUAGCAAUUCAAAAUGGUAAUUUUUUUAGCAGUAAUAAAUAUACCAUCCCCCAAACAGUACAAUAAACUUUAUUUGUAAAAAAAAAAAAUUAUACUCUUCUAGGACUUAGUCUACUUACUGGUACAUUUAAAGAGGAUAUUUACACCUUGGAGUCUUCUAGGAGGUGUGAAGGUGUUUUUAUUUUAAAAUCAUAACAAUCUGAUGAGGUUAUUUUUACAGAUAAAGGCCUUUAAUUCUGCAGUUUCAUAAAAUAGCUAGGUAACCACCCACAUUACUCAAAAUUUGUCCAGAAAUUUCUAUAGUUUAGGAUUAGUAUUUUGUGUAGUAUUUAUAAAUCUGUGGUCCACAUUUUCCAGUCUUAGAGCAGUACCAUAUUCAAAAAAUACAGGCAAGAACCUGAAACCCAAUUUCAAAAUGACUUUUAAAAAAUUCUCAGGCUGGGCACUGUAGCUCAUGCCUGUAAUCCAGUACUUUGGGAGGUCAAGGAGAGAGGAUCAUUUGACUCCAGGAGUUCAAGACCAACCUGGCCAACAUCAUGAAACCCAAUCUCUACAAAAAAUACACAAAUUAGCCAGGUGUGGUUGCAUGCAGCUGUAGUCUCAGAUACUCUGAAGGCUGGGGUGAGAGGAUCACCUGAGCCCAGGAAAUUGAGGCUGCAGUGAGCUAUGAUAACAUCAUGGCACUCCAGCCUGGGUGACAGAGCAAGACUCUGUCUAAAAAAAGAAAAAAAAAUUCUCAUAGCUGAACACUGUGAAAUAGACACAUAGCAAACAAUGUCUCUUAAACACUUUUUCUCUCAUCCACUUCCCUUGCACACACAGUAUUUGUUUUUAUGUCUCUUUCAAAACUUGCCCUACUCUUGUGUGCUUCAGAUGCUUUGCCCCAGCUCUCUUUCCUUGUGAGUUGGAAUCACAAAAUCACAAAUGAAUUGGUAUGGCAAGGCAGAGCCCUCCUCUUUAUGGGACUGAAAGAGGAGAGCUGCUAUAAACUAAAUGUUUGUGUCCCUCGCAAUAUUCGUAUGUUGGAGACUAAAUCCCCAAUGUGAUGGUAUUUGGAGGUGGGGCCUUUGGGAGACACUUAGGUCAUGAGGGUGGAACCUUCAUGAAUGGAAUUAGUGCCCUUGUAAGUGGAAACAUGAGAGAGAUGAUCACUCUGUCUGCUCUCUUGCCAAGUGAGGAUAUAGGGAGAAGACAGCAAACCAGAAAGCAUACCUUCACCAGACACUGGAUCUGCUGGUACCUUGAUCUUUAACUUCCCUACCUCCAAACUGUGAGAAAUUUCUGUUGUUUAAGCCACACAGUCUAUAGUAUUCUGUUAUAGCAUCCUGGAAUAAGACAGGAGCAGAGCUGAUGUAAAUAAUUACAGUAGUUCCCCCUUAUCCACGGUAGGAUAUGUUCCAGGAUCCCCAGUGGAUGUCUGAAACUGCACAUGGUACCAAACCCUAUGUAUAAUUUAUAAAUUAGGAACAGUAAGAGAUUAACAAUAAUUAUAAUAACAGAACAAUUAUUAUAGUACACUGUAAUAAAAGUUAUGUGAAUGUAUGCUCGCUCUCUCUCAAAAUAUCUUAUUGUACUGUACCACUGGUAACUAAAACUGGUGAAAAUGAAACCAGGGAUAAGAGGGAACUACUAUACUCAUUAAUAUGUAUUUCCAUUUCACAGCUAACUUUAAGAUAUUCACUUCUAUUGUGUGUUAAUGGUGUAGUUUGCUUUUAGCACAAGUGGUUUCUUAUGAAAAUGAGCCACUCUAAUAUGUCUAGGGCUUUAUAAUCACAGGAAUCAUCACACACAUCCUGUGGUUGUGUCUCAGAGUUGCAGAGAAUGCAACUUAGAAUCAACAAAAUCUGUGAAAUAGCUUUCAAAAUUAGGACUUAUUUUCACUAAAUAUGUGAGUCUUUAAAAUCCUUUGAACUCAAGAGUUCAGCAUUAAAAGCAAAACAGUCGGCGGGUCGUGGUGGCUCACGCCUGUAAUCCCAGAACUUUGGGAGGCUGAGGCAGGUGGAUCACCUGAGGUCAGGAGUUUGAGACCAGCCUGGCCAACAUGGUGAAACCCCAUCUCUACUAAAAAUACAAAAAUUAGCCAGGUGUGGUGGCAUGCUCCUGUAAUCCCAGCUGCUCAGGAGGCUGAGGCAGGAGAAUGGCUUGAACCUGGGAGGUGGAGGUUGCAGUGAACUGAGAUCAUCGUGCUCUGCACUCCAGCCUGAGCAACAGAGCAAGACACUAUCUAAAAAAG
rnacentral:lncRNA from 10 species